GGGGGUAUAGCUUAGUGGUAGAGUGCAUGUUUGGCAUGUAUGGAGUCCUGAGUUCAAUUCCCAGUGCCUCCA
rnacentral:tRNA from 1 species